AUGAACGCUAGCUACAGGCUUAACACAUGCAAGUCGAGGGGCAGCAUUUUAGUUUGCUUGCAAACUGAAGAUGGCGACCGGCGCACGGGUGAGUAACACGUAUCCAACCUGCCGAUAACUCCGGGAUAGCCUUUCGAAAGAAAGAUUAAUACCGGAUGGCAUACGAAUAUCGCAUGAUAUUUUUAUUAAAGAAUUUCGGUUAUCGAUGGGGAUGCGUUCCAUUAGUUUGUUGGCGGGGUAACGGCCCACCAAGACUACGAUGGAUAGGGGUUCUGAGAGGAAGGUCCCCCACAUUGGAACUGAGACACGGUCCAAACUCCUACGGGAGGCAGCAGUGAGGAAUAUUGGUCAAUGGGCGCGAGCCUGAACCAGCCAAGUAGCGUGAAGGAUGAAGGCUCUAUGGGUCGUAAACUUCUUUUAUAUGGGAAUAAAGUUUUCCACGUGUGGAAUUUUGUAUGUACCAUAUGAAUAAGGAUCGGCUAACUCCGUGCCAGCAGCCGCGGUAAUACGGAGGAUCCGAGCGUUAUCCGGAUUUAUUGGGUUUAAAGGGAGCGUAGGUGGAUUGUUAAGUCAGUUGUGAAAGUUUGCGGCUCAACCGUAAAAUUGCAGUUGAAACUGGCAGUCUUGAGUACAGUAGAGGUGGGCGGAAUUCGUGGUGUAGCGGUGAAAUGCUUAGAUAUCACGAAGAACUCCGAUUGCGAAGGCAGCUCACUAGACUGUCACUGACACUGAUGCUCGAAAGUGUGGGUAUCAAACAGGAUUAGAUACCCUGGUAGUCCACACAGUAAACGAUGAAUACUCGCUGUUUGCGAUAUACAGUAAGCGGCCAAGCGAAAGCAUUAAGUAUUCCACCUGGGGAGUACGCCGGCAACGGUGAAACUCAAAGGAAUUGACGGGGGCCCGCACAAGCGGAGGAACAUGUGGUUUAAUUCGAUGAUACGCGAGGAACCUUACCCGGGCUUAAAUUGCAACAGAAUAUAUUGGAAACAGUAUAGCCGUAAGGCUGUUGUGAAGGUGCUGCAUGGUUGUCGUCAGCUCGUGUCGUGAGAUGUUGGGUUAAGUCCCGCAACGAGCGCAACCCUUAUGGUCAGUUACUACGCAAGAGGACUCUGGCCAGACUGCCGUUGACAAAACGGAGGAAGGUGGGGAUGACGUCAAAUCAUCAUGCCCUUUAUGACUUGGGCUACACACGUACUACAAUGGCGUUAAACAAAGAGAAGCAAGACCGCGAGGUGGAGCAAAACUCAGAAACAACGUCCCAGUUCGGACUGCAGGCUGCAACUCGCCUGCACGAAGUCGGAAUUGCUAGUAAUCGUGGAUCAGCAUGCCACGGUGAAUACGUUCCCGGGCCUUGUACACACCGCCCGUCACACCAUGAGAGCCGGGGGGACCCGAAGUCGGUAGUCUAACCGCAAGGAGGACGCCGCCGAAGGUAAAACUGGUGAUUGGGGUG
rnacentral:rRNA from 1 species